GGAUUGUUCACCCACUAACAGGGAACGUGAGCUGGGUUAGACCGUCGUGAGACAGGUUAGUUUUACCCUACUGAUGGAGGGUUAUCGUAAUAGUAAUUGAGGGUAGUACGAGAGGAACUGCUCAUUCAGAUAAUUGGUAUUUGCGCCUGUCCGAUCGGGCAAUGGCGCGAAGCUAUCAUCUGCUAGAUUAUGGCUGAACGCCUCUAAGUCAGAAUCAAUGCUGGAACGCGACGUCCGCCAGUCACCUAUGGAAACCAUAAUCCCACUCCCAACUGAGAUCCUUGUCCAGGCGAAAUGCUGAAGACGGCUUCUCAAUGUACCAAAUAGUGACUGGGACAAAUCUUUUGCAGACCACUUACAUGGAACGAGGGAUUGUACGU
rnacentral:rRNA from 1 species